UACGUAGGGUGCGAGCGUUGUCCGGAAUUAUUGGGCGUAAAGAGCUUGUAGGCGGUUUGUCGCGUCUGCCGUGAAAAUUCGAGGCUCAACCUCGAACUUGCGGUGGGUACGGGCAGACUAGAGUGUGGUAGGGGAGAAUGGAAUUCCCGGUGUAGCGGUGAAAUGCGCAGAUAUCGGGAGGAACACCAAUUGCGAAGGCAGCUCGCUGGGACGUCACUGACGCUGAGACGCGAAAGCGUGGGGAGCAAACAGG
rnacentral:rRNA from 1 species